CCUAACUCAUGUUCUUUGUCUAAUGCUAAUACUUCUUUCAAAAGCUGUCCGAAAGCCUGUCUGUCAUCUAAGCCUCUGGGUGAAAGAUCGAGUGACCCAGCUUUCCUUUUUGCGUGUUGGCUCAUACUAUAUCAAACCAUUGAUUCAAUUCAAAAAAAGGCCUUUUUAAAACGCAACACGCGCGUUCAAAGUCUUGAGCAUUUAUAAAAGACGAUUGUAAGUAAUAAAAUAUCUCAAUAGAAUUAUGCGAAAAGUGGCA